rnacentral:lncRNA from 1 species
AUUCUUUUCCGUGGACAAGCCAAGAGGAUGCGUUACAAAGCCGGCAGUGCGAUUUUAUUCUUAGGUAAUCUCUACACCCAAUGUGGGGCUCGAUCUGACUUCACAACCCUGAGAUCAGGAGUUGCCUGUCCACAGGACUAAGCCAGCCUGACACCCCAGUGAUCACAGUUUAAAUUGUGCCCACUUGCCUGCCUCCCCAAGUAUAUGUGCUUCAAGAAUCACACGGAUGGAAUUCUAAUGGUGGAAGGUAAGCCAUAUAAGAGGGGCCA